UAUAUAAUCUGUGAAUCCCAUGAUUAAAUUGUGAAUCCCCACCGCGAUCACGGUUACGUUCACCAUAAAAUGUACAGAAUGGCUGUAAGUGUUGCCAAUCUCAAUACGACGGAAUAUUAGAAUGACGACAUUUAACUAAUCAAUAGCAAAUUAGUCUUCAUUCAAAACUAUAAAAAAAUGGUAGAUUUAGUAUUACGUAGUAUUUUAUAACUCGUCUUUAUUUGAUUAACAUAAAUAAACGAUGACAUCGUCGUCAUAUAAAUUACAUUAAAAGUGCAGCAAAAACUAUUUGUGGAGGUUAUGUUGGUACACACGAUAAGCUCUGCAUAUAAGCUGUAGAGAAAUCUCCGCCAACCACUCACUCCUUCGUUGUGUGUACAUUAUCGAACUAGUGCUGAACAACAAUCGCUAUGGAUAACGUAUCCAGGAAAGAGGCCCAUCAAGCAAUUGACAAGGCAGGAGAAACCAUAGGAAAGGUCCCCGGAGGAAAAGAAGUCAUGGGAUUUGGGCAGAAAGGACCUGAUAAGGGCGGCCUCGCUGCAAAGGCCCAGGAACAUCUUGGGGACGUCCAAAAGGGCACAACAUUUGCGCAUUUGCAGAGAGACGCCAUGAAGAAGUAGAGGUGGUGUAACGUGUAGCAGUGUUCAGUUACAUUGAUAUUCCAUAAUAUUAUAAUCUUUGUUCCACAAAAAUGAUAAUGUAUUCUAUUUUUAUCUUUAAAAUAUUUUCAUGAACACUGUGCACUUCUCAUGUAGUAAAAUCUGAUGUUUUAAA